AUUUAAAUUUUUGUACAGUUUUAUGUAAUCAAACUGGAUUUAGAGUUUUUUUUGUUUAUCUCAUGAUUGAGUGGGUGAUUGGUUGGGCUGUAACUGUAAAGUUUUUGCUGUAGAGAUUUUGGUGUAGCUGUGUUAGCUGUAACUGUAACUUUUAUUGUUGUAGAAUUAUUGCUGUAAGUUUUUUUAUU
rnacentral:sRNA from 1 species